rnacentral:lncRNA from 1 species
AAAAAGAUAUUAUACUACCACCCGAGCCAAACUGCAAGUGAUGCUCGUAAGAAUCAGGUUGGAUUGUGCGAAGCAGUGGUGAAAUUCAUGUCUACAUUUUCAUCAGAGCCCUGUGAAGCACUCCAAACCCAAACAAAACGUUACAUCUUCUACCAACCUGAAAAGGGCUAUUGGAUGGUUUUGGUGGUGAGAAUACCUUAUACCACUAAAGCUUUGUCAGCUAUUGGGGAGACACAAGGAGAAGUGGUAAAU